UGGGGAAUUUUUGGACAAUGGGCGAAAGCCUGAUCCAGCAAUGCCGCGUGUGUGAAGAAGGCCUUCGGGUUGUAAAGCACUUUUGUCCGGAAAGAAAUCCUUGGCUCUAAUACAGUCGGGGGAUGACGGUACCGGAAGAAUAAGCACCGGCUAACUACGUGCCAGCAGCCGCGGUAAUACGUAGGGUGCAAGCGUUAAUCGGAAUUACUGGGCGUAAAGCGUGCGCAGGCGGUUUGCUAAGACCGAUGUGAAAUCCCCGGGGCUCAACCUGGGAACUGCAUUGGUGACUGGCAGGCUAGAGUAUGGCAGAGGGGGGUAGAAUUCCACGUGUAGCAGUGAAAUACGUAGAGAUGUGGAGGAAUACCGAUGGCGAAGGCAGCCCCCUGGGCCAAUACUGACGCUCAUGCACGAAAGCGUGGGGGAGCAAACAGGAUUAGAUACCCUGGUAGUCCACGCCCUAAACGAUGUCAACUAGUUGUUGGGGAUUCAUUUCCUUAGUAACGUAGCUAACGCGUGAAGUUGACCGCCUGGGGAGUACGGUCGCAAGAUUAAAACUUAAAGGAGUUGACGGGGUCAUAGCUGUUUCCU
rnacentral:rRNA from 1 species